AAAAAGAUAAGCUAAUUAAGCUUUCAGGUUCAUACCCUGAAGAUAGAAGUAAUAAACCUUCUUCUUUUUA
rnacentral:tRNA from 1 species